rnacentral:rRNA from 1 species
CCUACGGGCUGCACCAGUGGGGAAUAUUGCACAAUGGGCGCAAGCCUGAUGCAGCCAUGCCGCGUGUAUGAAGAAGGCCUUCGGGUUGUAAAGUACUUUCAGCGGGGAGGAAGGUGUUGUGGUUAAUAACCACAGCGAUUGACGUUACCCGCAGAAGAAGCACCGGCUAACUCCGUGCCAGCAGCCGCGGUAAUACGGAGGGUGCAAGCGUUAAUCGGAAUUACUGGGCGUAAAGCGCACGCAGGCGGUUGAUUAAGUUAGAUGUGAAACCCCCGGGCUUAACCUGGGAAUGGCAUCUAAGACUGGUCAGCUAGAGUCUUGUAGAGGGGGGUAGAAUUCCAUGUGUAGCGGUGAAAUGCGUAGAGAUGUGGAGGAAUACCGGUGGCGAAGGCGGCCCCCUGGACAAAGACUGACGCUCAGGUGCGAAAGCGUGGGGAGCAAACAGGAUUAGAUACCCUUGUAGUC